UCCGACUUCCGUGCACAGACAGUCGGUAAAGCUGUGCCUGGUAGUGCGCUAUAUAGUCUAUAGAUGUGCGGGAGGGACGGGGGACCUUGGUGCGAAGCGAAGUAGUGCGGAGGAGGAGCUACGCACGCAACUUUUAGUCGUCUGCCCACUGUGCGGACAGUGUGCGGAGUGUGAAUUGAGAUAGGUAACCAACUGCGUUACUGUGAGCUUUUCAAGCUCUUUCAUUAUCAAGGUUCCACUUCACCGACGGAAAAUCAAGAUUCGCAUCUAGUCAGAUGUUUCUGUGAUAUACGAGUUGAUUUGAUUUGUAGUUAAAUUUCUUCCUUCCUUACAUUCCUUCCUUACUUAUUUCCUUCGUUGCGUAGGUCAAUCUAUAUAGCUACAUCAUUGAUUAAGUGGCAAGAAGAAGCUCCAACAUGUGUGGAGGAUUUACCUGCUCGAAAAACGCACUUACAGCGUUAAAUAUACUCUACAUUAUUGUUGCAUUUAUUUUAAUUGGAGUUGCUGUUUAUGGAAGAGCCUCUGCUGUGGUCACAAAUCUACCUAUUAUUGGAGGCAUUUUAGCCUGUGGAGUUAUACUGAUUCUCAUAUCAAUACUUGGUUUAAUUGGAGCUGUUAAACAUCACCAAGUUUUACUCUUCUUUUACAUGCUUAUUUUGUUCUUGCUGUUUCUAGUUCAAUUUAGCAUUGCUUGUGCCUGUUUAGCUGUAAAUACCAAACAGCAGGAACAAUUGGCAGAACAAGGUUGGCUUAAGGUGGAUACUUCGUUAAAAGAGAAUGUGCAAGAGUCUUUUCAUUGCUGUGGAUUUAACCAUACUAUCAAUGGCGUUGAUCAAUUUAUGAAUGUUUUACCAACAAAUGCUAAACCAAAUGAUCCUACAUGCGAUAAAGUGAAUAAAUAUUGUUGUCAAGAUUCUACAGAUCAAACAUGUCAAUGUCCACCAUGUAUGGGAAAAUUGCAAUCUACAAUUGAUUAUGCUUUCAAGUUAUGUGGUGGCAUAGGUCUGUUCUUUAGCUUUACCGAGUUUGUUGGUGUUUGGUUGACCGUGCGCUACAGGAACCAGAAAGAUCCGCGAGCUAAUCCUAGUGCUUUUCUCUAGUCUAACACCAUCGCCAUGUCCCCUGUCUCCCUGCACGAACCCCCUACUAGAUGGUGAUCGCAGCAUUUUUGGCAAGACGCUAUCGAAACCAGUUAGAUCCUGAAGAAUCGGCUGCUCGAGCUAUGUUUCCAAGACAUAAUUAUUUAUACUAAAACGUAUCUGCUCAACUAGCCAUUUACUACUUGGUCGCAUAUACAGAUUUGUUUUCAAAUACUCUUCAAGUCUUCAAAUGGAAUAGACUUAAUUUAAGUUUAAUUACUACAUAAGUACGAAAAUUCUUGCAUAAUGCAUUUUCAGCAAGCCAAAGAACAAACUUUGAUUGUAUGCAGGUGGUUUCGUCAGAAUGAAAUCAAUGCAUACUUUGUUCCUAGCAGAUAUUAUUUAUAACAACAGUAAAAUUAAAUGAAACGAUCUGUAUUCACAAUCAAAUGGAUUAUAAUAUAAUGAGAAAAGGAAGUUGCUUCCAAUAAACCAGUUUAUUUGCUGCGGAUUAAUUGAAAUCAAAUAGUUGCGAGAAUGUGUGCUCUAGUCAGCCACGUAAAACAUUCUUAUCAAGCCUCGAUGCACCUUGUGAUUAUUACAUUUUAUUUUAUCGUGUGAGAUUAAAAACAUUAGAUUUAUAGAACGUUAAUUUUAUGCAUUCCAAUCCUUGAUUAAUAUAUAAAAUAUGUUUAUAUAUUUUCUUGAUUAGUCGUUUUCUUUUUACAACAUCACUAUAAACAUCUGGUUAAUUCUUAUUAUUUCAAAAGAAUUUUCAAAGACUUAAUUGUCAGGAGGCUUUUUGCAUCACGAAUAAUACUACACUAAUUCUGUAAAAUAUGAAUCAAAACAAACAUGAACUAUAAUUGAUGUUCAAUUUAACAAGCCAUUAAAACUGUGUAGAUACAAAUGAAAAUAGAAAAUAUAGUUCUAUAUUUUAAAAUAAUCGUACGUAUAGACAUUUACAGUUAUUAUAAAUCAGAAAAAUAUUUUAUUUGAAGAAACUGUACGUUCUCUAUUCAAAUAAUGCUCUAACGUCAUUAUUUUUAUAUUUUUUAAAUCCUAGGAACUAUAUAAUUAUUGGUGAUCAAUAAUAAAUACUGUGUGCGUAAUGAGUUAAAUGCUUCGUACUCUGAUAGAUAAGCGAUUAAUUUAUUUGCAUGUGCUUUCAAGUGACACUGCAUUAUCCAUUGUAAUAUUGCUGAUAACACAUUUGCUGUUAAAUCAAAAUUAAUGUUGCAUUUAUUGCAUAUACUACGUGUUAAAAUAAUGUAUCGUUUGGAAAUCGCUACUGAAAAAUAUUAUCGACAUUGUCAUGUGUGAUGUUAUUCAUUAAUUUUAGGAAGCAAUAAAGAACAGUAUUGGGCUUUUCAAUAUGUUCAUCGUAGCUUGAGACUGUCGAAUAUGAUUCUUCGUUUGUCUCAAUCUGUAAGGUUGUCAGUCUAGCUGCAUAACCUGCAUCUUAUAAGUGUAUUAUUAAGAAAUGACUAUA